rnacentral:lncRNA from 1 species
GCUGGUCUCAAACUACCGACCUCAGGUGAUCCUCCUACCUCAGCCUCCCAAAGUGCUGGGAGUACAGGCAUGAGCCCCUGCGCCUGGCCUCUCUUUCUUAUUUCUAAGUGACUAUAUUUAAGAAAAAAACAAAACAAAACAAAAAAGAACAUGUUAUACACACACACACACACACACACAAAAUACCUACAUGCUCAUUAAAUACUAUUUUCCUGUGCCAUCUAAGCAUAUGUUACAGCUGUUAACACUAUUCUAUAUAUCAUAUAAAAUAUCUUUUCCCCUGGAUUAUAAAGGAUUGAAAAUAACAUUUAUUAAAUAUGAAAGUUUCAAUCAGUAGGAAAUAAGUUAAAGUAGAAACAACAGCCAGCUCAGUAUCUACAUUGUUUUAUAGCUUUAUUAAAUAAGAAUCUGCUUAUUAGUCUGAAGUAUAAUGGCUAAAGUAAUAUAUUUAUACUCUCAUCCUAUUAAUCACAACUCCUUAAGAAAAUUGCCACCAAUAGUUUUUUCCUCUACAAAUAAGCCAACAAUAAAAAGAGGUAAAAUAUAGAUGAUAAAAUACAGGAAAAAUGUAGAAGAGAUGCCUGAGCACAAAUAGAAACAAUUAAGAAUGAGGAAUAUUGAGUAUAGAAAGAGAAACGGAAAAGAAAUAGAAAUAAAAUCACACAUUAAAAAUGAUCACAAAACAGGAAAAUGACAUAUAUUGAAGACUGGAAAUAGAACAAAAUUAAUAUUUUUGUUCUAUUAAAGAAAUCCUUCCUGAAAUGGGGUCAGGGACUUUGAAUCUACGUAAUUCAAGGUUUCAGAACUUGCCAGGGAAAAAUAAUAAUACUAAUUAUUAUUAUUAAUUUUAUUAUAUUUAUUUAUUUUUUUUGAGACAGAGUCUCCCACUGUCACCCAGGCUGGAGUGCAGUGGCACGAUCUCGGCUCACUACAAGCUCCGCCUCCCGGGUUCACAUCAUUCUCCCACCUCUGCCUCCCGAGUAACUAGGACUACAGGCGCCCACCACCACGCUUGGCUAAUUUUUGUUUUUGUAUUUUUAGUAGAGAUAGGGUUUCACUGUAUUAGCCAAGAUGGUCUCGAUCUCCUGACCUCGUGAUCCACCUGCCUCAGCCUCUCAAAUUAUUUUUUCCAGUCAAAGUAUAAGGACCUCCAAGUAAAACAGACCAAGUCACAUACACAGGAAAGAAAAUGAGACAUGAGUCAGAAUUCUGGAUGGCAGCACACAGGGUAUGACAGCAGUGAAGUAACAAGAAGAAAUCCAUGAUUUCUUUCACUGGACAAGUAUAUAUCCACCUAAUCUGACCUUCAAGUAUAAACUCUACAGAAAUAAAGUUCCAAAUAUGCCACAAUAGAAUUAACAUUGUGCGCAAGAGCCACUAUUACCAGAGAACCUAAUAGAGAAUGACCUUCAUUCCAGAAAAUAUGAGUAGAAAAAAAAUGAGCAAAAAAUUAAUGUAGCUGAAGACUUUAGAUUAAAAUAAAAGUUGGGGGGGAGGGAUAAGAGUAAAUAUGUAUCAGGUUGGUGCAAAAGUUAUUGCAGUUUAUGGCAUUUUUUUUUUUAAAUGAUGAAAACCGCAAUUACUUUUGCACCAACUUAAUAUGGUGACAAAAUAGAAACAUAUAACUAAAAUAUGGACAAAGAAGGGAGAGGAGACAAACAGAAAUCACUCACUGAUUGCUUGGUAGGUAAUAGGUGGAAGUUUAAGAUAUAAUUCAAAGCUGACAAACAGGAUAGCAGAAUUGAAAUAAGGGAAAGGUAAUAAGGCUACUAUAAAAAGUUUUAGUGUGGAGGCAAACACUAGAAUGAAACAGAAUUUCCCAAAGAAAAAAGUAAAAUAAAACUCUAAAAUUUAAGAUUGCCAUGAAACUGAAAACACAAUAAAUAAUUCAGUGUAUAUAUAAUACAAAGUGUAUAGAAGAACUGAGACAAGAGGUCCGUUGUACUGAUGAAUGGAAAUAAGCUUAGCUCACUUAUUAAAAACAAAAUGUGUUGUUAUUGGCAUAUAGACGAAAACUUGACGCUGUUAUAUAAAAGACACAUUUUACUUGUAAUUGGAAUGGAUAAAAAUAAAUGGUCAAUAUCAUGUAAGACAAAUGUGAACAAAAAAUAAACUGAGGGUGGUGAUAGGGAUAUCUGACAAGUUAUAAUUUACAUCAAAUAAUAAAAUGGAACAAAGUACGACACCAAACAACACAGCUGUGAGGAAUACUCUUCAUAAUGUCAAACAAUUAAAAUAAAUAAAAGGAGAACAGAAAUGCACUAGUUAUAUGCAACCUUGACACAUUUCUCUUAGUGCAAAACAAAUCAUGUGGACGAGAAAUGCAUAAGAAUAUAGAAAAGCCAACUGAUCAAAUUAAUGAGGUAGUUAUUGUGGAUUUUUAGUGGAUAUAUAACUAACAAUUCAGAAAAGUGGCAAAGUAAACAAAAUGAGAGAAAGACAUAAGCAAAAUGGUAUGUUUUAAUAGAGAAAAACACUGAGGCCAAUAAAUAUGCUGCUUCUUUGAAAAAUAUCUAAAUUCAGAAAAGAAGUCAGAAAUGUACACACACACCCAAACUAAUAAGGGGAAAUAAAUAAUUGGUACUGUAAAAAUUGAUCAUAUGAUUGGGUCUUUCUUUACAUAACUAACUGUAACAGAGUCAAGAGGCCAGGAGUAAAAAGCACUCCGGGCAUGUAUCAGUCCGUUUUCACACUGCUGAUAAAGACAUACCUGAGACUGGGUAAUUUAUAAAGAAAAAGUGGUUUAAUGGACUCACAGUACCAAGCAGCUGGGGAAGCCUCACAGCCAUGGCGGAAGACAAAAGGCACAUCUCACAAGGUUCCAGACAAGAGAGAAUGAGGACCAAGCAAAAGGGGUUUCCCCAUAUAAAACCAUUAGAUCUGAUGAGACUUAUUGGCUACCAUGAGAACAGUAUAGGGCAACUGCCCCCCAUGAUUCAAUUAUUUCCCACUGGGUCCCUCCACACAACAUAUGGGAAUUACAGGAUCCACAAUUCAAGAUGAGAUUUGGGUGGGGACACAGCCAAACCAUAUCAGGGCAUAAAACAUUACUCUAAGAAUGUAAUUCUCUACAAGUCUAAUUUCUGAAACUGCCUGUUCUUACCUAAAAGCAGUUUUAUCUAAUAGCUACUGAAACAACCAGCUCUGACUGUAAGAUUAGUUUUACCCACCUCUGUAACCAAUCAGAACUUGCCUAUUAACUUUCUUUCAAAACAAUAAGUAGCAUUUCUCCUUUUUAUAAAAUCUCCAAACUUGUCUUUGUUCUUUGGACAUACUGAAGACCACCUAGCCUUUGUGUUUGUUCUGAAUUGCAAAUUUUCAUUUCCCAAAUAAAAUAUUUUAAAUUGAGAGAUUGUCUGUUACAGACACUGGAAAUUUAAAACAACAAAUUUGAAAGACCAAAAGAAAGGAAGGAAGGAAACCAAUUAGUCACUUUUUCUAAGAAAAUAUAUUUCAUAAAAACUGACUGACUGCAGCAGAGACAGGCUUAAUUUGCAAUUUUCUAAGAAGUAGUGGGAUUUAUCUAAGACCUCUUUCCUACCCACACUAAGACACAGUCUCAUAUAUUUUCAAAGGGGAAUCCUACCACAUCUUCAGAAACAAGAUAAUCCUAACAACAUUUUAAGAAGCACAGAAAAAUGAAAAUAACAAUGAUACCUGUGAUAGAGUGAAUGGUGGCUCAAAAAAUAUAUGACAAUCUCCUAACUCUGAUCUUAUUGAUCUUGUUUGGAAAAAGGACCUUUGCAGAUGUAAUUAAGUUAAGGAUCUUGAGAUUCAGAGAUUACUGUAGAAUAUCCAGGUGUGCCUUACAUGGCAUCACAAGUGUUCUUAUAAGAAGAGGCUGAGAGAAGUUGGGCACACACAGAGAGCACAAGGCUAUGUGAAGAUGGAACACAAAGAGAUGCGGCCACAUGUCAAGGAAUGCUGACAGCCCCCAGCAGGUGGAAGAGGCAAGGAAUGGAUUAUCUGUAGAGCAACUAAAGGGCAUGUGGCUCUGCUGAUGGCUGAGUUUUGGCAUUCUGGCCCCAAAAAUCUGUGAGAACUAAUUAAAAAAGAGGUAUACUUCAAUGAGAUCUCCUUUGGUGCCCACCAAAAGCAAGUUUAGUGAUAAUUGUGUAUCACGUUUUGUCCCAAUUUUAAAAAGGAGAAGAAUGGAACAUUCCAGAUCAAGAGGAAAAAGAUAUAGAUAUUAUAGUACAAAUCUAGGAUAAAUAGAGAAUUUAACUUUUAGAAUUCACUCGUUAUCUUGGUAGUCAUAAAUGAAAAGUGCUAGUUUAAUGGGGAAAGGAUUCCCUAUUUCAUAAAUGGUAUUGGGAAAACUGGCUAGCCAUAUGCAGAAAACUGAAACUGGACCCCUUCCUUACACCUUAUACAAAAAUUAACUCAAGAUGGAUUAAAGAUUUAAACAUAAGACCUAAAACCAUAAAACCCUAGAAGAAAACCUAGGCAAUACCAUUCAAGACAUAGGCAUGAGCAAAGACUUCAUGACUAAAGCAAGAAAAGCAUUUGCAACAAAAGCCAAAAUUGACAAACGGGAUUUAAUUAAACUAAGAGCUUCUAGAGAGCAAAAGAAACUAUCAUCAGUGUGAACAGGCAACGUACAGAAUGGGAGAAAAUUUUUGAAAUCUAUCAAAGGGCUAAUAUCCAGAAUCUACAAGGAACUUAAACAAAUUUACAAGAAAAAAAACCAAACAGCCUCAUCAAAAAGUGGGCAAAGGUUAUGAACAGACACUUCUCAAAAGAAGACAUUAUUGCGGCCAAAAACCAUAUGAAAUAAAAGCUCAUCAUCACUGGUCAUUAGAGAAAUGCAAAUCAAAACCACAGCAAGAUACCAUCUUGCUCCAUUUAGAAUGGUGAUCAUUAAAAAGUCAGGGAACAAAAGAUGCUGGAGAGAAUGUGGAGAAAUAGGAACCAUUUUACACUGUUGGUGGGAGUGUAAAUAAGUUCAACCAUCGUUGAAGACAGUGUGGUGAUUCCUCAAGGAUCUAGAACUAGAAAUACCAUUUGACCCAGCAAUUCCAUUACUGGUUAUAUACCCAAAGGAUUAUAAAUCAUUCUACUAUAAAGACACAUGCACAUGUAUGUUUAUUGCAGUGCUAUUCACAACAGCAAAGACUUGGGACCAACCAAAAUGCCCAUCAAUGUCAGGCUGGAUAAAGAAAAUGUGGCACACAUAAACCAUGGAAUACUAUGCAGCCAUAAAAAAGAAUGAGUUCAUGUCCUUCGAAGGGAAAUGCAUGAAGCUGGAAACCAUCAUUCUCUGCAAACUAACACAGGAACAAAAUAUCAAACACCAUAUGUCCUCACUCAUAAGUGGGAGUUGAACAAUGAGAACAUAUGGGCACAGGGAGAGGAACAUCACACACCGGGGCCUAUCGGG